GUCAGAUCUCCCCACCUGUGUAUCUUGUCCGUCCAUUUUUCACUGGUGAAGUAGUAGGCCCUCGCGCGAACCCACUUUUUAUCCAUGGGUCACGAAGCCCACGCGGCCCGGCGUUGGCGCGUCGUGCCCUAUCCCAAUCUUCCCCAAUCCAGCAGCCGCCGCCUCUCCCGCUCCCGCAGCCGUCGCUCCCGCUCCCCGUCGUCGUCCUUCCCCUUCCGCCGUCGCCAUGACCAGGAGCAGGCGAGCAGCGCCUCGUCCAUCCUGCACAGUCGACGCGAGGCGCCGCGCGCGGCCAGAGACGGGCCGGCGCUAGGCCUCUCAAUCGCCUCACACGCUCCUCCUCCCUAAUCCCCUUGCCUUCUUCUCCUUCUGCGUCCGACGGCACCGCUGCGCCUCCCUGGUCGCCCCGCCCUUCUCCUUCUCCCUUGCCCCGUCUUCAACCCCACCCAGCAGCUCCCCUUUUUGGCCAGCCCGUGGGGAGGAGCACGGGAGGCCGCCGCCAUCCACGGCUCCUGAUGUGCGCGUCGUCGCGCGGGAAGGAGGCAUCCUUGCCGCAGGUGGAGCUCCGGCGGCCGAGCUGGCUGCAGUGCCGCCGCCUCGCUCUCGCAGAGCACGAGCCGCCGGGGUGAGCCGCAGGCCGCCGCUUGCGCCCCCACCGUGCGAGGACCAGCAGCGCUCGCCAGGGCAGGGCGGUGGAGCACGUACAUCUCAGGCAUCUCUCUCCAUGAGAAGCCCCAUGGAUCCUCUCUCGUUUGUCAUCUCCUUUUACUCAGAUUCUAUUUUAUGUAUGCUGGGAAGGUGUUUGACAUAAUUCAUGCAGGGCAAGAUUGAUCUAUUUCAUAUCUUUACUCUAUUGAUUGCUCAAUAAUUUCGUUCUUCUCUCUGUAAAAAAAUAGCUCUAGUGCGUUCCAAGAUUUUGCAUAAUUUUUUUUGCAUAAAAAUAGCUCAGUGCGUUCCAAGACUUGGUAUUCCAUUGUAGUUCCUGGUCAUCCUCCUCCUCUACAGAACUGAUUGAUGCCCUUAGGAAUAAUUUUUUUUUGUUUCAGCAUAUAUACUUCAGUCCAUAUGUGCAUUAUUUAUUCCUUGGUGUUUUGACAUGACGCUGGAUGGUGGCGAGCAGUUUCAAGGUGCACACGAGCUUCUUCUACUAUUAUUCUGUUAUUGAUGGCACAUCAUGAGAUUUGUCCAACUCCACUUUGUUUGGUCCAUAUAUACGAUGAAUUCAUGGAUUGGGAUUAAUAUUUCCUUCUUUUUUGGUCACGGUUUGGUGUUUCUCAUCUGAACAUGGAUUUAGUAUGUGCCCUUCUGCAUCCAAGCAUACCACUCUGUUCUCACAGGUUAUAUUUUUGUAUUGAAAUAUACUUCAUCACCAAAUACUAUGGCAGUAGGCUGGUUUUGAGUUAUAAAAGGUUCCAACUGUUUUAUUUUCUUUUUCUCAGUAAGGUGUAUGAUUCAUAAAAUAAAAUAAAAUCCUUAUUUGUUUUGUCCAGGAAUGGCACUCUCGACAAGGUCGAUGACAUGCUAGCAUUGGCAACGCAAGUUUAAGUAUUUAUUUCUUAUACCUUCAGAACUUAAACUCAGCUUUGAUGGUACAAUACUGAAGUGUUUGAUGGAUCGUGGAUUCGAUUUAAUUGAUGCAAGAUUGUAUGGUCCUUGGGAUUUUUAGUGAUGGCCAUUAUAUUGUGCCAGCAUUGUGGCUAUAUCCGCACCUGUUUUGGUCAACAUGGUGGAUAAAGGGUUCCUGUUAUUUUACAACUAACAGUGGCAAAACUAUUUAGGAAGGUGUACAUGACCCUUGCAGCUCUAUUCAGGUCAUAUGACAAGGGUGCCAAUGGUAUAUUGUCUGACAUGUCGAGCCUUCUGUUCUACAGGAAAUCCCAUUGUUUUAUUCAUCUAGAGAUAAUAAAGCAAUUGGAGAGAGUAAGCAGGAACACAUACAUGAAUGACUAACAGAACUUUAUGGUGGUGUCGUUGUUCUCAAGGUUACGGUGAAUCCAGGAUAAUGUGUAUCUUUUCAGCUGUACCAAAUAUUCAUCCUCUCCUUUAGGAUCGUGCGCCACUAAAUAACUAAGCAUCUGCCGCCAGCCUCCAGCGGGGUGUGGAAGAAGGUGGGCGCGAAGGGGCGGAGCAGGUGCGUGUACUGGAGGAAGGAGGCGGCGGCGCGACUGGGUCAAGGCCAUCGUCCCCGACCUGUCCUUGACCAUCACGGUCGUCCUCGACCUCCUCAACCAGCAUGAGCAAGCGGAGUGGCCUAACCGUUGCCCAGAGGAGCUUCUGGUGCCCGUCUGGAGCUCUUCCUUUCGACUUCGUGGCCUGCUCUGCCUAUUUGUUGUCACCUAGGACACCCGGCAGAGGCACAACAUGCCUUCUUCAAAGAAGACCAUCAGUGCAUGCAUGACUUCCCAGUGGAUAUGUAGAACAUUUAAGGGAGAACUGAGCCAACAAUUUCACAGCCAGGGAUAAUGUCACCAUGCUCCAACAUGCCCUUGUUUCUAGGAGGCUUGAGUGAUUGCUGAAAAUGAGUCAACGAGUAUGUGGGAGUAGUAGCGCGCUCUUCAGCAUAGGGGAGCACGAACCACCGAGACAGAUUCAUCAUCAUCGUCAUCAUCGCGGCAGAGGCAGAGGGUACGGAGGAUCCUAGGUCUCAUCUCUCUCGGAGGAUCAAAUGUAUCUCUCUCUCUCUCUCUCUCUCACCAGCAAUGCCCUUCCUGCAGCCAUACCUGGCCUCCUCCUCUCUCUCUCUCUCUCUCUCACCAGCAAUUCCCUUCAUGCAGCCAUACCUGGCCUCCUCCAGCCCCGCACUGCCCCUCGCACAUGUAUGAUUUUCAACACCUUUAAUCUAUAAAAUACAUGUAUCCUCUUUUCUCAUUGGUUCAGAUAUAUUCUGAAUAUAAUAUCUUCCGCCGUGACCAUGUUUUAGUUUGAUAUAUAUAUACAUAUUGCAGCAACGAUGAUGAUCUGGAUGAACAUUGCAAGGAGGCCUCAAAUUAUUUUUACUGCACUAUAAUAGAUGAGCUUAGUAUAUCAUGUAGUUAUGUCUGUAAACCAUGUUCUAUACAUGAUUUAGCUUUCCAUAUUCAACUCCCCAAAAAUUUAAGCUCAGCUUUAUUCGAUGAUUUUCUUAUGUUUAA